rnacentral:tRNA from 1 species
GCCAGGUUAGCCAAGUGGUAAGGCGGCCGUCUCGAAAACGGCUGCGCGUGAGCGCACAGGGGUUCGAAUCCCUUACCUGGCG